rnacentral:rRNA from 1 species
UACGUAGGGUGCGAGCGUUGUCCGGAAUUAUUGGGCGUAAAGAGCUCGUAGGCGGUGUGUCGCGUCGGUCGUGAAAACUUGGGGCUUAACCCUGAGCUUGCGGUCGAUACGGGCAUCACUGGAGUUCGGCAGGGGAGACUGGAAUUCCUGGUGUAGCGGUGAAAUGCGCAGAUAUCAGGAGGAACACCGGUGGCGAAGGCGGGUCUCUGGGCCGACACUGACGCUGAGGAGCGAAAGCGUGGGGAGCGAACAGG